rnacentral:lncRNA from 1 species
UUUAUAAAUUACCCAGCCUCUGGUAUUCCUUUAUAGCAACGCAACAAUGAAUGAAGACACCUAGCAUCCUUGUGCUUAAGAAGGCAGGCUCUGAGACCUGCUCGGUGGCAAAGAGGCAGAAAGAAAGUGCUGGUGGGGUGAAGGUGAGGAUGAGAGCCACUCCUGCCAAGCAGAUCGCUGGGCGAGGGGCCUGCCGCGGGGACUCAUAAUACACUAUUAGAUAAUAUAUUAUACAAAAUAUAUAAAAUGUAUUACAUUAAUAUAUUAUAUGUAAUUAUAAUUGUAUGUAUGAUAACUACCAUGCUCGGGCUGGUCUCAAAUUCCUGGACAUUUAUUAUGAAAUACACAUCCAAUAUUAUUAACCUUUAUAUAUUAUGUAUUAAGUUAACAGACAAGUAUUUUAAAUUUGUCAAAUUGAAUAUUACCAUGUAUCAAUAUGCGCUGUGUGCACAGGGACCUGGAGUGGAGAGAAGGGUGCAGAGGAAGCUCAGGAUGCCGUUGGCCGGGACUUAGCGGAGUUGGAGCUGCGUUCUGUAGAGGAGGCAGGGAUGACAGAGGAGGCCCCGUCCUAGUGGAGGUCUCAAUCCACAAGGAGGCAGGCAUUGCAGGGGUCUCACCCUGGGAUGAGCAUUACAGAAGGCAAGUGAGGGCCCCCCAGCACAAGGCAAGGUGGGGCCGUGGCCUGAGGCAAGAGAGGAGUCCCAUCCAAGGGAAGGUCAGGGGGAAGGCAGUGUUCACUGGGCGAACUGGACAAUGACCUCAGCUUGGACCUGGGUAGCAGAGAGCACAGCAAGAAGCUGGGGCUGCAGACCAGAGGGCUGGGUGUCGGCCUCUCGCUGGUGAUGAGACAGGCGGCUUCUGCGAAGGGCCAGGGAUGAUGGAGGGGAAUUGGAUCCUGGAGCAGGAAAGUAGGGCAUGGUUAGGGGCUGAUGGAGACCUGGCAGUGGCACAAUCUCGGCUUAAUGCAACCUCCACCUUCCGGGUACAAGCGAUUCUCCUGCCUCAGCCUCCCAAGUAGCUGGGACUACAGGCGCACACAUCACGCACGCCCAGCUAAUUUUUGUAUUUUUAGUAGAGAUGGGGUUUUACCAUGUGGGCCAGGAUGGUCUCGAUCUCCCGACCUCAUGAUCCUCCCAUUUUGGCCUCCCAAAGCUCUGGGAUUACAGGUGUGAGCUACUGUGCCCGGCCCACUUAGUUAUUUUAAGAUAGGGUCUUGCUCUGUUGUCCGAGCUGGAGUGCAAUGGUGCUAUCAUAGCUCACUGCAACCUCGACCUUCUAGGCUCAAGUGAUCCUCCUGCCUCAGCCUCCUGAGUAGC